rnacentral:rRNA from 1 species
AUUGGGGUAGUAACCGUUAUAAAGUGGGGCGUCGACGUACUUUAGUUGGUGGGCCGUGUGUAUGAGUUUGAUCCUGGGUCAUGAGUGAGUGGCGAACUGGUGAGAAACACGUGGGAAACCUGCCCAGAAGCGGGGGAUAACACCUGGAAACAGAUGCUAAUACCGCAUAACAACUUGGACCGCAUGGUCCGAGUUUGAAAGAUGGCUUCGGCUAUCACUUUUGGAUGGUCCCGCGGCGUAUUAGCUAGAUGGUGGGGUAACGGCUCACCAUGGCAAUGAUACGUAGCCGACCUGAGAGGGUAAUCGGCCACAUUGGGACUGAGACACGGCCCAAACUCCUACGGGAGGCAGCAGUAGGGAAUCUUCCACAAUGGACGAAAGUCUGAUGGAGCAACGCCGCGUGAGUGAAGAAGGGUUUCGGCUCGUAAAACUCUGUUGUUAAAGAAGAACAUAUCUGAGAGUAACUGUUCAGGUAUUGACGGUAUUUAACCAGAAAGCCACGGCUAACUACGUGCCAGCAGCCGCGGUAAUACGUAGGUGGCAAGCGUUGUCCGGAUUUAUUGGGCGUAAAGCGAGCGCAGGCGGUUUUUUAAGUCUGAUGUGAAAGCCUUCGGCUCAACCGAAGAAGUGCAUCGGAAACUGGGAAACUUGAGUGCAGAAGAGGACAGUGGAACUCCAUGUGUAGCGGUGAAAUGCGUAGAUAUAUGGAAGAACACCAGUGGCGAAGGCGGCUGUCUGGUCUGUAACUGACGCUGAGGCUCGAAAGUAUGGGUAGCAAACAGGAUUAGAUACCCUGGUAGUCCAUACCGUAAACGAUGAAUGCUAAGUGUUGGAGGGUUUCCGCCCUUCAGUGCUGCAGCUAACGCAUUAAGCAUUCCGCCUGGGGAGUACGGCCGCAAGGCUGAAACUCAAAGGAAUUGACGGGGGCCCGCACAAGCGGUGGAGCAUGUGGUUUAAUUCGAAGCUACGCGAAGAACCUUACCAGGUCUUGACAUACUAUGCAAAUCUAAGAGAUUAGACGUUCCCUUCGGGGACAUGGAUACAGGUGGUGCAUGGUUGUCGUCAGCUCGUGUCGUGAGAUGUUGGGUUAAGUCCCGCAACGAGCGCAACCCUUAUUAUCAGUUGCCAGCAUUAAGUUGGGCACUCUGGUGAGACUGCCGGUGACAAACCGGAGGAAAGGUGGGGAUGACGUCAAAUCAUCAUGCCCCUUAUGACCUGGGCUACCACCGUGCUACAAUGGAUGGGACAACGAGUUGCGAACUCGCGAAAGUAGCUAAUCUCUUAAAGCCUUUCCAUUUCGGAUGUAG